rnacentral:misc_RNA from 1 species
AAUAGGAAGUUAAACUAAACCUAAAUACAUUAGGAAAAUAUAGAUAAAACAGGAAAUUAAACUAAUCCUAGCUAGAGUUGGAAAACAUUAACUAGUCCUAGAUGGGAUAGGAAUGCCUCUUAAUUCAUUCUAAAACAAUUCCUGCAGCUGUUUCUUGUUGUACAAGAAGUCCAGGUUGAACUAGGACUGCUGGGAGACAGAAUUAAUAAUAAAAAAAAACGUAGCUGCCAUCCUGGAAGGAGGACUACAUGCUCUGGGCGUGUGGCAAGGGCCUGGUACACGCAAAGGGCGUGUAAUGUUCUAAGACACUCUGCUGGACACACCAUUUUCUGCAAUUUCUCAACAUCACUUUGGCAGGCUCUGUUAUUGUGUAGUUGGAUAAUAG